rnacentral:rRNA from 1 species
GACGAACGCUGGCGGCGUGCCUAAUACAUGCAAGUCGAGCGGGCGAAUCGAAAGCUUGCUUUUGAUUCGUUAGCGGCGGACGGGUGAGUAACACGUGGGCAACCUGCCCUGUAGACGGGGAUAACACCGAGAAAUCGGUGCUAAUACCGGAUAACACGAAAUGUCGCAUGACGUUUCGUUGAAAGACGGCGCAAGCUGCCGCUACAGGAUGGGCCCGCGGCGCAUUAGCUAGUUGGUGAGGUAACGGCUCACCAAGGCGACGAUACGUAGCCGACCUGAGAGGGUGAUCGGCCACACUGGGACUGAGACACGGCCCAGACUCCUACGGGAGGCAGCAGUAGGGAAUCUUCCGCAAAGGACGAAAGUCUGACGGAGCAACGCCGCGUGAGCGAAGAAGGCCUUCGGGUCGUAAAGCUCUGUUGUUAGGGAAGAACAAGUAACGCAGUAACUGGCGUUACCGUGACGGUACCUAACGAGAAAGCCACGGCUAACUACGUG